CCCUUAGAUGUUCUGGGCUGCACGCGCGCUACACUGAAGCGUUCAACGAGUAUUCACCUUGCCCGGGAGGGUUGGGUAAUCUUUUGAAAACGCUUCGUGAUGGGGAUAGAUUAUUGCAAUUAUUAAUCUUCAACGAGGAAUUCCCAGUAAGCGCAAGUCAUCAGCUUGCGUUGAUUACGUCCCUGCCCUUUGUACACACCGCCCGUCGCUACUACCGAUUGGAUGGCUUAGUGAGACCCUCGGACCGAUAGGCUGUCGCCGCGGCAACGUGGCGACCGGCCCGUCGGGAAGAAGGUCAAACUUGACUGUCUAGAGGAAGUAAAAGUCGUAACA
rnacentral:rRNA from 1 species